rnacentral:rRNA from 1 species
AGCUCCAAUAGCGUAUAUUAAAGUUGUUGCAGUUAAAAAGCUCGUAGUUGUAUUUGUGGCGCUCGUUAGGCUCCCUUUCCCUCUGGGGAUUUGGUGCUGCCUGACGUUGCCAUCCUUGGGUGGAACCUGUGUGGCAUUAGGUUGUCGUGCAGGGGAUGUCCAUCGUUUACUGUGAAAAAAUUAGAGUGUUCAAAGCAGGCUUACGCCGUUGAAUAUAUUAGCAUGGAAUAAUAAGAUAGGACCUUGGUACUAUUUUGUUGGUUUGCGCACCGAGGUAAUGAUUAAUAGGGACAGUUGGGGGUAUUCGUAUUCCAUUGUCAGAGGUGAAAUUCUUGGAUUUUUGGAAGACGAACUACUGCGAAAGCAUUUACCAAGGAUGUUUUCAUUAAUCAAGAACGAA